UAACUACGCACUGUGAAUUUGGCCCUUAAUUAAUUAAUCUUGAUUUCCGGUCUCGGAUUGUUAUUGUUCGCGUUAAAACGCGUCGAUUGACACCCCUCUCGAAUUUUUUGGUAAAUUUUGGCCUGGUUCCCCUGAAGCGCACUUUUACCAAAAAUACUUGGUAAUUUGAAAAAAGUAUCGAGUAUGUACUUGGAUUUACUUGUAUCGAAUUAUCCCUAGUGGUCCUACAAAGAAAAACGUGGUUUGGCGGCAAAAUUGAGGACAAGAAUUCGCGUCCAAUGCACUAAUAUACCUACAAUAGUCUAAUGUUUAUUAGUAGUGGAUGCGGCGGUCUAACUAUCAACACUGUUAACAGCUGGAGUCUUAAGAUGAUAACGUGUAGGUAUAACGUUGCAUCCAAUGAUUUAGCCACGGAGUUUGCCAACCGCUUAAUCAUCAAAUGGGACAUUUCUUAACAAUGGUGAAAACCAGUGUCAUCAGUGGCGCCAGUGUCAUGAAUGCCAUCAGUAUCGGCUCUGCCAGUGCCGCCAGAGUCGGAAGAAUCCUGCUCCGCCAGUGUCACCAGUGCCGCCACUAUAACCAAUGACGCCAGUGUCAUCAGUG